rnacentral:lncRNA from 1 species
CUUCUGGGCAGUGGGGCUGCAGGGGCCCGGGUCUGCCAGGCUGUUGGGGUGCAGAGGCGGCGGCUGCGGCCGAGGACGAGGAGCCAGCGGGCCGGCGUCCGGGCGUGGAGACAGGAGGCUGUGGGCGGUGCAGGGAGCCAGAGGGCUGCUCGCUGCUUCCCCGCAUGUAAGUGGUCCCGCAUCUCCCAUGGGCUCUGCGCAGCUCUGCCUAUGCGAUGGAUAAAUAAGCAGGGAAGAGAGCAAGAGCCGCAUGCACACCACCCCCUCCCACGCAAGGAUCCCGAAGAGUCACUGUCACCCAAUUACAGCAGGAAGUAAUUCUAAGGAAUUACCCCCUUUCUCUACUGUUGGCUUAAAGGGUAUUUUGACUUUUUCCUUCAUCCCUGAAAAAAAAAAAGGCUGAAGGAUCUGAAUUAACUUGAUCAAUGCUUAAAAGAAACAUUAAGACUGAGACCUCUUACAGUGACUAUGAUGAGAAUGGCCAGGACCCCUCAGACUGUGGCAGGUUACACCAUUCCUCCAGGAUAACAUGCACAUUUUUCUCCUACUGUCAUUCAAAGACUGAAAAACUCCUGGGUAGAGAGUUUGGACUUUAACCCUGACUGCUACUUACAGGAUAACCCAGCAUGAGGAGAGACAAAUUUGCCUAUGUACCAUUUGGAGCUAAUGAGAUGACUGAUUGCAUUUCUGGUUGAAGUGUUUGCUUCUGUAACAUAUCUGUCCUUUUUCAAUAAACCAUCCUGAAAUUCAUUUACCAGAGAGAGAAGAGAGAAGGACAGAGAGGGGCGUGGGAGGGUGGAGAAUAGAGGAAGAGGAGGAAGAUGAGGAAGAGGAAAGAGAGAUCUUUCUCUUUCUGGGGGAAGGACUGCACAUUUUUGGGAACAGAAUCUUUCUUUGUAAAAUGGAAUAUGUCAUAAAUCUAAGAGUAAAUCUUUGUAUAGUGCGCCAUUGCUUUCUGACCCAUGUCCUUUUAUUAGUUCCAAACUUAUGAAGACCUUGAACUUCAGAUCAUUAUCUAAUACACUUAACAUAAGAUGCAAAGGAUUAUAGAUUAGCAAUUGAAUGUGCCAUUAGCUCAGCAGUUCAGCUUUUGUAAUGAGAGAGGAGGCAUCACUAAACUGGUGUCUGUGUCCACUGCUUUCAUGUACUGAACUGCUCCUGUACCUUAUGUAGCAACAUAUUCCAUUUCUGAGCAGCUUCCAUUGUUAAAUUCUUGUAAUGUCCUGUAGAUAGUCAGUCCUAUCACAGUCUUGGCUUUCCUCAUCUGUAUUUUAGAGUUUCUACAGCUAACAUAAUCUGGGGACUGACAAACAAUAUUGUCACCUUGCAGUUCUGGAGACAGUGUCUGAAAUCAAGAUGUUGGCAGGGGCCAUACUCUUUCUGGAGGUUUUGAAGCUUUCUUGCUUCUUCCUUGUAGAAGUUUCUUGCAUUCGCUGGCUUGUAGCUGCAUCUCUCCCCACCCACUGCUCUGUCUUUCCUUGUUAUUUGUUUACAAAUACUUCAAAGUUAUCAGCAGUUUUCACUUCUUUGUUGAUUCAGUUAGGAUACUUCUUUGUGACUAUUAACAGUUCUUUAACUUUUUAUUUAAGCCAGACUUCUCUUGAAUAUGGAUCAAUGUAAGUGGCUCCCUUAAAUGUGGCUCCCACAAAUAAAUGUUUAAUGGGUUAUGCAAGCAUGGUGAAAAGCCAGGUUCAAUUUUGUUUUUUGUUUGGCAAAAAAAAUAUUUACUACAAAUGUGUCCUUUCCAGAAUACAGUUAGGAAGUUUCAAUUACUACGGUUUUAAAAGCGUAAGAUCAUAAGACCAGUGACUUCUAAGCUUUAGCUUGGGAUGAGAAGUGGCUGUGUUCUUUGGGGGCUGUGUUCAGGAUCCUGAACCUAACAGAUGGUACCCAUGGGCCCAACUGUGUGACAUGCUCAUUGCCUGCACUUGAGGAGUCAAGAUGACUCUGUUGACGUGUGUAAUGCUGUAAUUCUAGCACUCAAGGCUGAGGCAGGAGGAUUUUGAAUUUGAGGCCAACCUAGGCUACAUAGCAACACUGUCUCCAAACAAACAAACAAACAAACAGAAAACAAAACAAAAAACCAACAACACCCUCCCCCAAAUAACAGUUUUUUACCCCCAAAGUAUGUUACAGUUUUAAGAGGCUUGAAGCCUUUGUAUCAAGGCCCAAAUCUCUGCUGUUAAAGGUUUCAAAUUAAA